UCGGCCGCUAGAGCCCAGGCCAGCGCGCCAGCCGCGCUUUGUGCCCGAGCAUCCUCUUCGGAAACCGGCGAUCUCUCCCCAUUAGCAGCACCGCUCUGGACCCGCCGUCCCCUCCGGAGUCCAAGCCAUUCCCCUCACCUCCCGGAGGGGGCCUUGCACCGGACUGCGGCGGCUUCCUGCUGUUGAGACUCUCAGAGAGCUACCGGAGCCACACUAGGACCUGAGAGAGUUGUGGAGAUGGGUCCACCGCCAUUGGAUCCACAAGACUUUGCACCCACUGGCCUGUGAUCUUCCUGCAUUUGGCAUCAUUUGUGUGUGGCUGUAUGACCUAAAGAUGGAUUUAUGGACCAAGAUAGGACUCAUGGACUUGAUCUGGAUUAGACUGAGAUGUUUUCUUGAUAUAUAUUUGCUUCUUGAAAUAAAACCCUUUCCUAGACAUAUAUCAGUGUCUCUGGAUUUGUUUUUCGAGUCAACCUGGCCUAACACAGCAGAUCUCUGGAAUUCUAGGCAAGAUAAUUUAAACAACUAUAACAACAGACGACAGUCAUGGAGUGGUUUCUGUCAGAGCAAAAGGAAC